UACGUAGGGGGCAAGCGUUGUCCGGAAUCAUUGGGCGUAAAGAGCGCGUAGGCGGCCCUGUAAGUCCGCUGUGAAAGUCAAGGGCUCAACCCUUGGAUGCCGGUGGAUACUGCAGGGCUAGAGUCCGGAAGAGGUGAGUGGAAUUCCUGGUGUAGCGGUGAAAUGCGUAGAUAUCAGGAGGAACACCUGUGGCGAAAGCGGCUCACUGGACCAUAACUGACGCUGAUGCACGGAAAGCUAGGGGAGCAAACAGG
rnacentral:rRNA from 1 species